rnacentral:tRNA from 1 species
GCGGGAGUAGCUCAGCUGGUAGAGCGUCAGCUUCCCAAGCUGAAGGUCGCGGGUUCGAAACCCGUCUCCCGCUCAA